GACACGUCUUGGAAAUGUUUUAAGAAAGCUCCGUAAAUCCGGAUGUGUCUUGUUUAAGUCAUGGAAAAGUCAGUUUUGGUGCGAGCAAGAUAGGCGAGUUUGCGUUGAAAUAUCAAUUGGAAACGAAAAAGAUCUACCAAAACUGGUUGGAAGGACUAACCAAUCAGAAAAAGUGCAACACCAUAUUCCUGUAAUCGCGAAGUUCUUGGAAAAAUGCCUGGAUGAAUGGUUGGCGUACAUAAAACAGAGUCGAAGCGAAUUUUACUUUUUAAACUUUUUUACCACUGAUCAACUUGUUAUUCUCCAACAAGAGCUCGCCCAAAUGGGAUCUGAACGAAAGCUUUCGCCACACGUGUUCUCACUCCUGUCGGCUGUGAAGGAUGAUUGUAAAUUAGCGGAUUUGGAAACAGCACUUAGAGCUGCCCAAUUGGAAGUACAUACCAAGUUAUCAAAGCAGCGGCCUGCAUUGGAUACACUUGAUAACGCAGGGCAAACCGAAGACAGAGAUAAAGAGAUUGAAUCUUACAAUCAAAGAUCAACGUUUGUUAAAGAACUUGUUGAUAUUGGUUAUGAUCAAACUUUGGCCGAAAUGGCACUGGAUCAUGUCCAUGCGGAAGAUAUUUCUUCCUGUGACGUU